AGAGCGCCCAGAGAAGGACCGGACCGGCCGCCAUGUUGGAGCCCUGGAGCUGCGGCGAGCCGAGGCUUCGGGGGGCUCGAGGAGCCGAGAGGUGGCAUGGUGAGAAUGGUGAGGCUAGGGUGUACCACUUGAUAGCCUCGCGCACCGGCUAGGACGGAGGCUACCCAGGGGACCUUCAGGGCUGUCGAGCCAGAAAUGCCAUCGCGAGUCGGAGUGAACCCGCAGGGGUUGCACAAGGCCUCGCCACCCUGGGACACAGGGAGUCGCUUUACUUCUGAGCGUGGAGAACCCCUUAGACUUUCUGGGGAGACUCUCUGGUGUGGGGACUCGGGACGACGGGCCUUGCGCCUGUAGGACGAAAAGCUGGCGUACACCCUGUGAGUGGAGCUAAACCUAGGUUAAUUAUUAUUAUUUUGCCUUGCCAAUUUUCUUCAUCCCUCAUGAUCGUUUCCUCAGGUGUCGGACCCCUGCUCCCACCAUUGAAUUUUCGUUCGGUCGUGAAUUGCAAAGGGCCUCAAAGAAAUCCUUUGCUAGAUAAUGUGAUUGCGAAGGGUUGUGUAGCUUGGCCCUGAAAAUGACAAAGGAAGCGUCUACCAGAAGAAGUUAGCACCUAAUCUUUCUUACCCCACCAGCGAAAGUAAACGACAUUGAAAAGGGACUGCAAUGAGCAGUCUUAAUCGACUAACACUGAAUGAACUAUGCUAAAAUACUGUGUAUAUUCGAAGUUGAUAACCAUGGAAAACGUCCCUUUUCUUUUGUUACCUAUAUUAAUUGUGGAAAAUAACGUGUUUUGUUGUGACAUCUUCAUGCAGGUAACGUUAGUUAACACACCAUCCCCUUCCCUUAGCCACUUGGUACCCUCACCGAUGAAAAUGCAUUCAGAAUACUUAAAGAACUUUUGAGCCUGUUUGCUCAGCAUCUCAAAUAACACCUUUUCUCCAGUAACUAAAACAGUACAGAGUGUUUGUUUUUUCAGGUUCUGAAGUUCACUAUAGAAAAAUGCCAAAAGAGGGUCUCUGAAAAGUUCAAACUUCUGAUAUGCAUAAUUUGAGUGUUUUCUUUUUCCCUCCCAAGCUUUUGGAGACUUCGGUGGGGAGGAUUCACACAGCACAGUCAAAGACCCUGGAUGGGAUCCCCAGCACUCGUUUGUUUGCAUCAAUGAAAAUAUAUGCUGUGAAUUUAAUAAAAUUCCAGUAGGUCUUCCUUUCUAAAAGCUAGGCAGGCUGCUUUUUAAAUUGUCAAAACACAACAGGAACCUUCAAAGAUAUAUGGAGAUGAUGGUAGUUUAAAAGGCAGUUUUCAAAGACUUGGCUUGUGGUGUGAGAAGCAGCCACAGACGUGGCAGAUGCCAUUCUUGUGGAUUCAGCAACGUGAAAGCCUCAGAAAUACGAAGAUCUUCUGCUUGUAAUGUUGGUAAGUACCAGAAAGGAAACAAUAUUUACCAUUUCCUUUCUGUCCUUUGAUCGAAAUGUAGAAAUGGUUCAGGCUAAUGAAUCUUUGUUUUAUAAGCCAUUUAUAUGAGUAGUAACCUGAGUUUGAGUUAUGUGGAAGACUGAUUUGUUGAAAGAAAAUAACAGGAUGGGUGAAAAUAGUGUGAAAAUGGGGGUGAUAUAAUGUAAUGAGUUCUAUAAUUUGUACAUGAUUGAGUACUUUGAAGUAUUUUAGCCUUCUUUAUAAUGGAUAGUCAACCAUAAAUGCAAGGAAAAAAAUAUCAGUGUCUUUAGAAAGACUAAAAAUUAAGUCUCAACUUUCAUAGGAAAAAAUUCCAUAUUUAGAAACUUAAGGGAAAACAUUUUACCAGGAAAAAAAAGUGUCUUUCAGACCUCCUCUUUUGAUUAUGGUAAAUGCCAUACUCCCCAUUUCUUCAAGUUGAUACAAAUAGGCACACCAUUAGGUUUAGCAAAUAUGGUUUGGGGAGUUUUUAGGGUUUUUUUUUUUUUUUCCCUCCCUUCGAGCAAAUCUUUAAUUCAUUUUGGAUAAUAAGAAAACUAAAGUUUUUCAUAUUUUAGGCGUUCUUUCACAGAGACUUUUGCUGCUGGAUUUCCUGCAUGGCUUAAGGUAAAUGGAACAAAUGUCUCUCAAAAUUUGAAAUCUAAAUGACAUCAGAUUUAUAUUAAUUAAUGGCUACCUAGAAAAGCAAGCUUUAUCUUACCAUCUUAUUUCUCAGAUUUUAGCAGGCUCAGAUAAUUAAAGGGCACUAGAAAACAUGUCUUUGCAAGGAUAUAUGCUGAUAAGCUAUAUGUGUUAAUGAAUAUAACCAUUUCUGGAAAUUCUGGUAUGCAGAGAUGCUCAACUGCAACCAGUUCUGUAAGUAGGUAUACAUUUAUAGUCUUUGAGAAUUUUUGAUGAUGCUGUGUGUGUGUAUGAUCGUGUUAUAAACUGUAAUCCUGAGUUGUCUCUCUUUUAUACACAGCUUUAUUGAAAUGAAAUUCAUAUAUGUCCUUCACCUACAUAAAGGGUGCAGUCCAAUGGGUUUUAGUUUGCUUAGAGUUCGGGCAAUCAAUACAAUUAUACAAAAACAACAACAACAAAAAACCCCUGCAAAACCAUGCUUGUAAGUAUAAGGAAAUAAUUGCAGAAGGAUUUUUGUCUUCUUCUAAAUUGGUAUUAUACAAAGCUUAUUGUGGGUAAUGUUGUCUUACAGUACUCCAAUUACAGUUGCAAUACUGUAAGUAAAUAGCAUAUUCCUUGUAUGUAAUAAGUGGCCUUUACUGGAAACAUACUAUUUUGUAACAUAGAUUACUGGCAAUUACAUGUUACAACACUGUCACAGUUGAGAAUUCUUUAAGGGUGAUGCAUACUUAAUUGAUUGCUUUCUUAUUCUGUAUGAUUAUUGUGCUGGGCAUUAUGCCUUCAUUGAAUUUUAGUCCCUGAGCCUAUUCCAUGUUCAAUGCUCAUGUUUGUGUGUCUUUCUAAAACUCGGCUUCCUUUUUGCUUUUGUGAUGGUUCCUGAGCUUUUUAUUUCCCAAGCUGGCAUUGUUUCCCCAUGAAGGCUUACUAAGUUUUGUUAUUUUUCAUAUAAACUCCAAAUUAACAAUUUAGUGAAGAGUCAACACAUUUCAGGGUUUAAGGAAUGAAUGGAAUAGAGAAAAACAGGUACCAAAUAAAAAUAAGAGGUUUGAAUAUCUGAAAGAUAAAUGUUAGUAGGGGCAGGCAGAAUUAAAAGUGUUUAUUUUAAAUGUUAGAAGCAACAACCUACUUACUUUUAAAGAUUUGUGUGCUUGGGUAUUUGCCAUCAUGUAUGUGCCUACUAGAGUGCCCACAGAGGUCAGAAGAGAGCCUCAGAGUGCCCUGGAACUAGAGACUGUUUUGAGCCACCAUGUGGAUGUUGGAAACUGAACUUGACCCUUUGCAAAAGCAACAAGUGCUCUGAACCACUGAACCCUUUCUACCCUCUCACAACUCUCUUAAUCCCCUCUUAGAAACCAAAGUCCUAACCCAGUGCACAGUGAUCGUGUCCGUAAGGAAUCUGAGGACAUUUAAACUUAAACUCUCUUGGGAAACAGCCAAAAAGGCAAAGAAAAGGAUCUCUGAAAUACUUUUGCAGUAAUUUUCUCAUAUAAUACUCAGUGGUUUGGGUUUCUUUCUAAAACCCAGCACUGUGGAGGUAAAAAGAGGGAAACUGUGACUUGGAGCCCAGCCUGGACUAUGUGGGGAAUUCCUGUCAAACCACAGGAAAUUUUUUCAUUGAAUUCUUUUUCUUUUCAUGAUUGCCAUUUUCAAGUCUUGGCUGCCUGUAUGACCAAACUUGUGUUUUGUGAAUUUUUUAUGACACUAAAAAAAAAAAAAGAAAAUAAGAAAA
ensembl:antisense